GAGACACGGUCUCCCUAUGUUGCCUAGGCUAGUGUCUUAUUUCUGGGCUCAAGCGAUCCUCCCGCCUCAGCCUCCCAGAGAGUUGGUAUUAUAGGCAUGAGCCACUGUGCUGGCUUGCACCUAGAUUCUUAAAGAGAACAUUACUAGAACAUUACCGGAAGCCCCUUGUGCACUGUCCCCUGUGGGCCACUUCUCCCACCCCAUUCCUGUCUUUUAAUACUAGAGAUCAGUUGUGCUUGUUUUUGAAAUUUAUGUGAGUGGAGUAUACUAUGUAUACAGUACACAGUAAAUACUGUAUGUACCACUGCCUAUAUACAGUAUACUCCACAGUGAGUGAAACAAGCCAGACUCAGAAGCAUACAUACUGUAUGUACCACUUUGCUUAGUAGCCACAGUGUAUGCACCAUGGUACAUGCAUAUACUUCUGAAUCUGGCUUGUUUCACUCAUGGUUAGGUGUGCAGGAUUCAUCCAUGUUGUUGUGUGCAGUUCUUGCUUAUUUUACCAGUCUGUCUUAUCCUGAGAAUAUCUUUGACAUUCAACUCUGCAUGCAGACCCUUCCUUACACGUUCUAGAGAGAGGACCUGUCUUCACCCUGUGUUUAUUACCCACAUACUUGAACAGCUGUUUCCUCCAGGCAUCAUUAUGCAAAAGGAAUGAAACCCGGUGUGUGCAGCUUUUUUAGAGGACGUAAAAGGAGUCAGCUCUUGCCUCUCAUCAAUAGUAUUGUUUAUCAGUCAUUUCUCUUUUGAGGCAUUGGUUGAAUAAAUGGGAAAAUUCCUGCUUUCAAGGAACUUAGCAGACUUGUUGACAGAUAAGACCAUAAGAAGAAAGCCAGUGAAGUACCCAGUGAUGUGAACGCCAUGGUAUGAGCAAGUACAUAAUAGAGACCACAAGUGCUUUUUAGAAGUUAGAGAUAGUCAUUCUCUGGGGCUUCCUCAGGAAAAUCCUCGCUGAAUCUGGGAUCUAAACUGGGCCUUAUGAUUCUUGGAUAUAAGGUUUGUUGUAUAGGUUGAUACAAGUUACUUAUUAAUAGUUGUUUGCCCCCCUCCCUUUCACUAUCUUUAGGUGAUGAUGUCCACACCUUUCCACAUCUCCUCAGGAGCUGGUGAUUCCCAGAUACUAUUUGUUAACCUGCAUCACCACUCCCAUGCACACGAACACAGGACAAACAAAUCCAGCUGCUUCCUGGCAUCUCUACUUGAACAACUUAAAGGCAAUUCAGAUCCCACAGGGUGAAAAGCUGAAUUCAUCUAUCAGAGUGUUUUCUAAAAUCCCAAGUAGAUUAUGUCCCAUUCCUGCUUAAAAUGAUCUCCUGAUUCUCAUUGCCUUUUGGAUAAAAUCCAAUCCUGAGUAUCAACAAGGGGCUUGUGAUUUGGUCCUUUUCUGUGUCAUUCUUUAGAAUUUCUGGAAGCAGCCUAUCAUCGCUCCGUCUGCCCUCCAUACACAGCGUUUGUGUGUGUUAUGCCAAACUGCUUGGUGUUUUCCAACCGUGGACCAUGAUAUCUCACUUCCUUAACCUUACCUUCAUAUGCUUUUCCUUUGUGUCUUCUUCUGAAAUGCUUCUUCCUUUUGUCCAGGCUGACUCCUGUUUGUCUGAGACUUGUGUCUCAGGAAGCCUUUCCGUUCCCCUCCAGUCAUUCAUACCUCUGUCAUAACACAUAGACUGUAUUUUUAAUUUGAUUUCCAAUCUGUCUCUUUUAGGUUGUCACCUUUUUUGAGGGCAAGACCUUUUUGUUUCAUGGCUUUAGUUUGCUGUGUUUGUUACAGUGCCUGGCAUUUGGUAGGGGUUGAGUAAAUGUAUACAGAAUAAAUGAAGCCUGGGAGAAGGAGUUCCAGUUAAGAGUUCUAAUAAAUAACUGUUUUUUCAAAAUCUUGGGGCUUUCAUCUUGUGUGUUGAAUGUUACUGGAUUAGGGGAAAGUUGUCUUUAUGAAGUGGGCCCUUUAAACUAGUAUUCCUGUUUUUCUGUUAUAGUUCCCUACUCCCCGCCCCACACCCCCUCUAAAAAAAAAGUACUAGAAGUUACACACAGAACUGUAGCCUUGGAGGCUGUAGGCAGUGCAUUUAAAGUACUUCUGGAGUGGUUUUGAGCUUCAGAGCAUUGACACACUUCCCUAAAUAACUGUGACAAUUCUUUCUAUUUGCUGUUGCCCAUCGGUGAUUUCAGUGGCCAGUAGUCAUACUGGAAAGUCUGAUAAUAAAGCAGGGGAUCAGUCAUGUGGUACCAAACCAGUUGUGGGGAAUGUUAGAUGUGUUAAGAUGUGAUUAGCAACGACAUUCCUGUUUGUAAACUGGCAUCUAUGGCGGUUUAAAAAUGGUGGCAAAACCAUUUUGAGUAUUGUUGGAAAUGUUAUCUGUUCUGCCGUGUUAAUAUACCUAUAAGUUGGUAGUUGCAUCUUGUACCCUUGAUAGUCAUACUUUGUACAUUGUGUAUGCCACUCUUCUGUUGAGUAAUUUGGAUUAAUUACUUUGGAGAUUGAAGUCUUGACUCAUUCACUUCACUCAUUUAUUUAGCUGUAUUUUCAGUUCCAUGCAAUGAGUGACACAGACUGUGCUGCCAAAAAGGAAUUCUCAGUAAGGGCAAUGCACAUAAAUUACUGUGUUACUCAGAAAUCAUGAAUAGUUGAGAUCACAAGCGGAGAGAUGGAACCAGGUCUUAUAAUCAGUAAACCAAUAUUCCAGUAAAAAGCCUGCAAAGAAUGCAAAUAAGUAAUAAAAUAACUACAAAUUAAGUCAGUAAAUAUGAGAAAUGUAUAGCCUACCCAUUACUCAAAGGAAUACAAAUGUAUGUGUGGAUGAGUCAGUAUCACUUUUAUAGUUGGAAGAAAGCAGUUUUCCUAAUAGGAAAUUUUUAGAAUUAAUCUGGUUUGGAAUAUUUAAGUGACAAUGUGUUUUUACAUUAAGGGAUUAAAAUUUUUAUCAGGCACACUACUAACUUAGUAUUAAAACAGCUGUUAAGAUUGGAAAGUAUCUGAAUGUAUUCUUUAAAAUAUAUUGUAUUUGUAAAUUUAAAAUUGUUUCGUACUCUUCAUAUAUAAGACAUUUUGUGUGAUGUUCUAAAUCAGUGCUAUCCAAAAGAAAUAUAUUGUAAGCCACAUGUAAUUUUAACUUUCUAGUAGUCACAGGAAGAAAGUAAAUUAAGCAGGUGAAAUUAAUUUUAAGAAUAUGUUUUAUCGAACCAAUUAUAUCCAGAAUGUUUUUUUUAACAUGUAACCAGUAUUACAGUGAGAUAGUUUACAUUCUUUUUUUCAAAGACAGUCUUCAAAAUCUAGUGUACAUUUUAGGGUUACAGCAAAGUUUAGUUCAGACUAACCACAUUUCAAGUGCUCAGUAGCCACCUUUGGCUAGUGGGUACCAUAUUGAAGAAGAGGAUGAGUAGUUGGGAGUGAGGGCUUUGAUGUCAGACCCAAGUUUGAGUAACAGCAGCUCUGCCAUUUGCUCACCUUGUGACCUUGGGUAUGUUACAUGAACUUGUGCUUUUGUUUUUCAUUUAUAAGCGGGCAGUAUGUAUGAGUGUGGGUUGGUGAUUUUAAGUUACCAUCUGUAUCACAUCCCUAGCGCUUCCUUUCCCUUUGUAAGAUUUCCUUUGUUUUUAGAAUCCUCUCAUAUUGGUUAUUCGACGGUCUUUGUAGAUAAUUAUGGAGUACCUGGAGCAUUUUGGCUGAAGUGGAAUGCUUUACAUGUCUUUAUCCUUUUUGAAGCUUAUCUGAUUGGUUGUACAUUCCCAUGCAUUAGAAACAGAUCAUCUAGUAAUAUGGAACAUCCAGUCAGCUUAUCUUGCAGAGUUCAGGAAGUACAUGUAUCUUCCGGAAGUAUCUUCUGGCGUUCAAGAGGAAUUUUCUAAUGGAAAACCAAAAUGUUGUAAUUUUGAGAAAUCUUUUUUAAAGUUAAAUUGAUUGAG
rnacentral:lncRNA from 1 species